rnacentral:rRNA from 1 species
CACGGUGUGGCCGAUGACUGGGGUGAAGUCGUAACAAGGUAGCCGUAGGGGAACCUGCGGCUGGAUCACCUCCUUAAC